UACGGAGGGUGCAAGCGUUGUCCGGAUUUAUUGGGUUUUAAGGGUGCGUAGGCGGCUUAUUAAGUCAGGGGUGAAAGACUAUUGCUUAACAAUGGCAGUGCCUUUGAUACUGAUAGGCUUGAGUACAGUUGAGGCAGAUGGAACGGGUGGUGUAGCGGUGAAAUGCAUAGAUACCAUCCAGAACACCGAUUGCGAAGGCAGUCUGCUAAACUGUAACUGACGCUGAGGCACGAAAGCGUGGGGAUCGAACAGG
rnacentral:rRNA from 1 species